UGUGGAAUAUUGCACAAUGGGCGCAAGCCUGAUGCAGCCAUGCCGCGUGUAUGAAGAAGGCCUUCGGGUUGUAAAGUACUUUCAGCGGGGAGGAAGGGAGUAAAGUUAAUACCUUUGCUCAUUGACGUUACCCGCAGAAGAAGCACCGGCUAACUCCGUGCCAGCAGCCGCGGUAAUACGGAGGGUGCAAGCGUUAAUCGGAAUUACUGGGCGUAAAGCGCACGCAGGCGGUUUGUUAAGUCAGAUGUGAAAUCCCCGGGCUCAACCUGGGAACUGCAUCUGAUACUGGCAAGCUUGAGUCUCGUAGAGGGGGGUAGAAUUCCAGGUGUAGCGGUGAAAUGCGUAGAGAUCUGGAGGAAUACCGGUGGCGAAGGCGGCCCCCUGGACGAAGACUGACGCUCAGGUGCGAAAGCGUGGGGAGCAAACAGG
rnacentral:rRNA from 1 species